AUUGAACGCUGGCGGAAUGCUUUACACAUGCAAGUCGAACGGCAGCACGGGGCAACCUGGUGGCGAGUGGCGAACGGGUGAGUAAUACAUCGGAACGUGCCCAGUCGUGGGGGAUAACGUAGCGAAAGCUACGCUAAUACCGCAUACGAUCUACGGAUGAAAGCGGGGGAUCGCAAGACCUCGCGCGAUUGGAGCGGCCGAUGGCAGAUUAGGUAGUUGGUGGGGUAAAGGCUCACCAAGCCGACGAUCUGUAGCUGGUCUGAGAGGACGACCAGCCACACUGGGACUGAGACACGGCCCAGACUCCUACGGGAGGCAGCAGUGGGGAAUUUUGGACAAUGGGCGCAAGCCUGAUCCAGCCAUUCCGCGUGCAGGAUGAAGGCCCUCGGGUUGUAAACUGCUUUUGUACGGAACGAAAAGGCUCUGGUUAAUACCUGGGGCUCAUGACGGUACCGUAAGAAUAAGCACCGGCUAACUACGUGCCAGCCGCCGCGGUAA
rnacentral:rRNA from 1 species